rnacentral:rRNA from 1 species
GACGAACGCUGGCGGCGUGCUUAACACAUGCAAGUCGAACGGUGAAGCGCCUUCCUUUUUGGUGGGUGUGGAUGAGUGGCGAACGGGUGAGUAACACGUGAGUAACCUGCCCCCUUCUUCUGGAUAACCGCAUGAAAGUGUGGCUAAUACGGGAUAUUCUGGGUCUGUCGCAUGAUGGGUCUGGGAAAGAUAUUGUUUCGGUGGGGGAUGGGCUCGCGGCCUAUCAACUUGUUGGUGGGGUGAUGGCCUACCAAGGCGGUGACGGGUAGCCGGCCUGAGAGGGUGGACGGUCACACUGGGACUGAGACACGGCCCAGACUCCUACGGGAGGCAGCAGUGGGGAAUAUUGCACAAUGGGCGCAAGCCUGAUGCAGCGACGCCGCGUGAGGGAUGGAGGCCUUCGGGUUGUGAACCUCUUUCGCCAGUGAAGCAGGCCUGCCUCGUUUGUGGGUGGGUUGAUGGUAGCUGGAGAAGAAGCGCCGGCUAACUACGUG